CAGAGUUCAUGCCCUUACGGGUAGAUCUCCCACCCUGUGUUAUUAUCACUUUGUUGCUUUGGCGGGCCGUCAGGCUCACGCCCGACCACCGGCCCCGGCUGGUACGCGCCCGCCAGAGGACCCCAAACUCUGAAUGUUAGUGUCGUCUGAGUACUAUACAAUAGUUA
rnacentral:misc_RNA from 1 species